rnacentral:rRNA from 1 species
CGCCUUCGGGUGGUCGUUAGCGGCGGACGGGUGAGUAACGCGUGGGUGACCUAGCCUACCGGUGGGGGACAACUGCCCGAAAGGGUGGCUAAUCCCGCAUGUGCCCAGUCGGUCGGACGGGUGGGGAAAGCCUUGGCAACGAGGCGCCGGAGGGGGGCCCGCGUCCCAUUAGGUGGUUGGUGGGGUAGUGGCCUACCAAGCCUGGGAUGGGUAGCCGGUCUGAGAGGAUGGCCGGCCACACUGGGACUGAGAGACGGCCCAG